GUUUUAUGAAUGAAUAUUGUUUCAUUCAUAAAACUUUACUUAUGACGUUACAUUAAUAAAGUAAACAAUUAAAAACAAUUUCAUUCAUCAGUUCUGCAUGGUACCAUGGCAAGUUUUUAAUGUGCUCUGUUGUAACCAGCCUCUUUCCCUUCAGGGUAUCCAAGGAUCAGCUGACUCGGGUUCUCCGGGAAGCUUGGGGCUGGGAUGUAGAGGGUGCCAGUCCGAGGGUUGGGGGUGGGGCAGGAGUUGACGUGGAAGUCCAAAAGAAAAUAAGCGAAUCAUGAAAGUUUAGGAUUAGCAGCAAUAGCAUAGUCACACACAUAAACCAAAUGGAAGACGUGAGCCAUUUUCAGACUUGAGCAGACUCCUUAAUUCUGUCGGCUGGGUCUGUCAUAGUUACUUGGUUGUACCUGCGGGCGCUUGGCUCUCCACAGGAUUUUUAGAAGGCUUUAUUUUGGCCUUUUGUUUUCUUCCUCUCAAUAAGUAGCCAGGGCUUUUAAGGGAGAGGUCUUGGGCCACCUCCGCAGCUUCCCACGGUUCUUCAGGGCCAAGGAGUGGAGGUGAGAUUCUCGUGUCCACUGGGGCCUGGACUCGCUUGCACUGGGAAGAGUGGAUCCAGUUGAGCAGGUUGUGGCACUUGACAAUGGUGUGGGUGGUUAGCAAUAUCUGGAACGGGCCUUUGCAGCAAGGUUCCAAGCAGUUCAUUGAUAUUUUUUGAUGUAUACCCACUCUCCUGGUUGCCAGUCAUGACAGGAGGAGUCCACUGGAGCAGGGAAGGCACACUGAACCUCUUUGUGUAAAGACUUAAUACAUUGCAUGAGUUUUUUACAAUAUGCCAGGACCCUCUCAUCUGUCAGCUGUGUAUCUAGGUACCUGGGUGUGAUAGGAGGGGCCGCUGGUAUUCUCAUUGGCCUACCCAUUAAAAUUUCAUGGGGGGAAAGACCAUGUUUGCGAGCAGGGAUGCUCCUCAUUUCCAUUAGGGCCAGGGGUAAAGCGACGGGCCACUUAAGGUUGGUUUCUGAACACAUUUUAGCAAUUUUGUGUUUUAGCACCCCUUUUACCCGUUCCACUGCCCCAGCACUUUGGAGGUGGUGAGCGCAGUGAAAGUGCUGAGUGAUUCUUAGUGCCUUGCAGAUUUGCUGCACGACUUGGCCUGUGAAAUGAGUACCCGAUCACUGUUGAUAGAAAGGGGCAGUCCAAACUGCGGAAUGAAUUCAUGUAGCAGUUUCUUUGCCACCGUCAGGGAGUUGGCUGUGGCACAGGGGUAAGCCUCAACCCACCCUGAGAAUCUACAUACACCACUACGUAUUCGAACGGGCAGCAUUUAGGCAUGCUGAUAAAGUCAAUUUGUAUAUUAACAAAAGGGCCUCCUGGGGAGGGAUGGGCUGCAGGCUUGGUUUUCACAGGCUUUCCCACAUAUGAGCAAGGCACACCGGGCAGGUGUCGCAAUACUGUCGGGCCAUUGCUGCAAAAUGCGGGGCAAACCAAUGCUGUUCAAUUGAUAGUAUCAUUCCCCUGCUCCCUACAUGGGUUAGCCUGUGGGCCAGGCGGGCCAAAUAAGGGAGCAAGCCUCUAGGUGCUACCGGGCGACCAUCCGGAGUGCGCUGUACGCUGUCGGGAGACUUUUCACAACCCACUGUUCUCCCGUAGUCCUUUUCCACCUUUUCUGCCGACUCCUGCAUGUCCCCCAACUCUCGUAUGAGGGUUGGGGGCAUGUCAGGAGAAGGUGAGUCAACAAGGGUCAGGACUAGGUCGGAGCUAGCUAGGGCUAUAUAACAAAUGGCAGAAAAUUCAGCCGGAGACCCAGAAAGGGCCGCUUGCUUGGCUGAUCCGUCAGCCAGAGCAUUUCCUUCUGUGACCUCAUCACAAGGAGUUUGAUGGGCAGUGCAUUUUAUAAUGGCUAUUUCAGAAGGGAAUAAAAGAGCAGUAAGAAGUGCAUCAACAUAAGACCCAUUUCGGAUGGGAGUCCCUGCAGAAGUGAGGAACCCUCGGUACUUCCAGAGUUUCCCAUAAUCGUGCACUACCCCGAAGGCAUAGCGGGAAUCAGUGUAGAUGUUAACAGACCGUUUUUCCACUAGGGAGCAGGCACGGGUAAGGCAAUCUACUCAGCGACUUGGGCCGAGUUCACCCCUGGAAGGGAGUGAGCUUCCACUAAGUCGUGGGGUGAGCAUAUAGCAUACCCUGCUACAAGGAUACCCUUGGGGUCCCUUAAACAGGAUCCAUCAACAAAAUAUACUAGUUCAGCGUUAGGUAAAGGGGUCUCUUUUAAAUCUACUUGGGGAGAGCAUAAUUCAGCAGUCACCGCUUGGCAGUCAUGCGGCUCCCCAUCCCAAACAGUUGGGAGUAGAGAAGCCAGGUUGAGAACAGGGCAACGGGCUAGGGUCACAGGAGCAUUUUGAAGCAACAUUUCAUAUUUAGUCAAGCGAGAAUUGGACAUGUGUUGGGUCGCUCCUUUUAGGAGGAGUAGGGUUACAGCAUGGGGGACCGACACAAGGAGAGGGGACCCCAAAAUGAGUGCGGCUGAAGUGUCCACCAUAAUUGCCACUGCAGCAAGACACGGGGGCAGUCCUGCCACCCCCGGUCUAGAGGGGUGCUAUAAUAAGCGACAGGCCAUUGGGAGUCCCCGUGUUCGUGAGUCAACACCCCCGGUGCUAUUCCAUCCUUCUGACAAAAGAGGGUGAAGGUUUUAGAGUAAUCGCGUAUGCCCAAGGCUGGGGCGCUGGCCAAUUGUUCUUUAAGAGUUUUGAAAGUGGUUUCAGCUGUUUGGGUCUAGGGGAGGGAUUCCGGCACAUCCUUGUGGGUUAGGUUAUGUAAAAGCUUGGCAAUAGAGACGUAUUCAGCUAUCCAUUGCCAGCAAUAGCCUGCCAUUCCAAGAAAGCCACACAGCUGCUUUUUAGUAGUGGGUCUGGGAACCUGUAGUAGUGCUUUAAUUGUAUUGUGAACAAGUGUCUCUCUCCUGCGGUCAAAUCGUGCCCUAAGUAGUGGACUCAGGGAAGACAGAGAUGCAGCUUUGAUUUGGAAGCUUUAUGUCCCCUUUCUGCCAGAGCUUGCAGCAGGAUUAGAGAAUCCACCUGACAAACCUCUAACGUUGGAGAGGCUAUCAGGAGAUUGUCCACAUAUUGUACUAAAACAUGGACCCUUUAGGAAGCGUAACAUUCUCCAGGUCCUUCCUGAGAAUCUGGGAGAAAAUGGUAGGUGAAUCCGUGUAACCUUGUGGCAGUCUGGUCCAGGUAUACUGCAGGCCCUGAAAAGUAAAGGCAAACAGAUACUGGCUUUCUGGGUGAAUGGGGAUGGAGAAAAAGGCUGAGCAUAAAUCUACUACUGUGAAGUAGGUAGCAGAGGGGGGGAUGCACGAGAGAAUGGUUGCAGGGUUGGGCACAACUGGGAACAGGGGGUGUACUACUGCAUUUACAACUCUCAGGACUUGAACAAAACGCCAUUUCCCUGUACCCGGUUUUCGGACAGGUAGGAUUGGGGUAUUACAUUCACUACUAGUUUGAACAAUAACCCCCUGUUGAAUCAGGGAGACCAAAACUGGCCUGAUCCCUUUCUAAAGCUGCAGGGGGGGGGGUAUUGUGGGAUUCUGGGAAGGGGCUUAGUCAGGUCUAACCGAAUUUUGACAGGCUGUGCCGAUUCUAUACAGCCCAAUUGAUUUGGAUGUUCCUCCCACAAAGCUGGAGGAACUUGGGCCAAUAUUUCCUUUUGAACCGGGGAGAGAUCUGGGCCUGUUGUUUUGUCGGGGGAGUGUGCCUUCAGGACCCCCAAGACCUUGUGCUGUUCGGCCUCCGAAGCCUCCAGGAACACCCCUUUAGGAGUACAGAAGAUAGAACAGUUUAAUUUACAUAACAGAUCCCUUCCCAGGAGGUUGACGGGGGAACAAGGGCUGAGGAGAAAGGCAUGUUGUUCUGUCAAAGGGCCUAUUGAUAUCAACAAUGGGGUUGACACAGGAUGGAGGAUAGGGACACUACCGACCCCCACUGCGUUAAUAACUUCCCCAGAUAAGGGAAGGGAGGGGAAUUCCUCCACUCGCAGUGUGGACCGAGAAGCUCCGAUGUCCACUAAGCACUUUACCGGGGUUUUGUUAAUGGUGCAGGUAACAUAAGGGCCAGAUUGAUCCAAGGGGAUAACUGGGGCAAUAAGGUCUCAUGACUGUCCUAUCUAUAGUCCACCUGUGCGGGUGGUUGGGGUGCAGCCAACGGGCCCUCCCACUGUGGGGCCUGGGCCCUUCCUUGCUCUCUCUAGUCCCAUCGAUUUCGAUGGGGGCAGGCCCUUUUGAUGUGUCCCUCCUCUCCACAUCCAUAGCAGUAAAAGGCUGGUGGGCGUCCGGUGGCUCCACCUGUUCGUGUCAUAGCUGCGAAGGGUAUUUCUCCCCUGGUGUUUCCUUCCCCAUACCUAUAGGGUCGAUUGGGUUCCUUCCCAUUGUACGAUUUCCUUUCUUGUAUCUUGGGGUUUAAAUUAUUGAUUUGGAGAGCCAUUAGGUGGGUCUCUGCUUCUUCCCUUUUUUUCUCGCUUUGGUGGUAAUAAUGUUGGGCUGCAGCUAGGAUUUCCUUUAAACCCUUUCCUUCCCAACCCACUAGACCCAGGCGUAAUUGUUCACUAAUUUUUGGGCGGAGCCUCUGGAUGAAAACAGCCACGAUAGCUUGCUCUUCUUGGGUUUCAGUGUUAUUAAUGCCCGAGUAUUUUUCAAAGACCAAUUUUAACCCGGUCCAAAUAAUCAGCAGGUUUAUAACAAAGGUUCCUUUGUUUACAAUUGUUUAUUUUAGUCCAAUUGGCCUUUGUUGGGCAGGCCUUAAGAAUAGCUUCUAACAAUUUUCCCCUCAUCUCAUUAAUUGUUCUCUAUCUGGUUCCACUUUGUCUGUCCACUCCAUUGUUUCAUAAAGAUGCCUCUGUGUUUCCCUGGGCAUUAUGCUUCUCAGGAAUUGGUCUAGGUCUCCCAUAGUGGGAUUAUAACAAUUUAUAACAACCUCCAACUCCUCUUUAAAGUGGAGAGGGUCAUCCCGAAUUUUUGGGAAUUUAAGGCCCAGAGUGCCCAUAUCUGUUGGGCUCCAAGGGGUAUGGACCUCCGUUACCCCACUGUCCAGUGCAGGGAGUUGUCUUAAGGGAAAAUUUCUUACCUCAUGGGAGGUCCCAAUUUUCCCAUCUGGGCUGGUUUUGAGCUUCCGUACAAGCUCCCUUCGAGCCUUACUUACAUCUCCUAAGAUAUCCUCCUCCAUUUCUCUAAAUUUACUGGGGCGGACUUCUUCCCGCCCCCCCUUUUAAUUUGUCCCAGCGGGCCACUUGCUGCCUAGUACGGUAGGCUGGGCCAGGAGAUAUGCGCAGCAUCUCAGCCAACUGGUCUGCCUGGUCGAAGAUGCAGUGCAUACAUUUCUCCAAUUCCCCAACCGGGGAACUUGGAGAGGAUACUAAGGGGAUUAUAGAUUCCGUGGGGGAAGAGGGAGCGGGCUGCUGUCCGCUCGCCUCGUCCUCAUCCUCGAACCCUGCCCCCCCAUAGUGGGGAACUUGCUGUGGCUGCUCCCCCUCUGGUUGCCCCUGGGGACCCGGGCUUGCCUAGGCAGUCUCCCAUGAUCCAAAUAAAAAUCUUUGGGGGUUGGUUAAAGGGAGGGGGUACCGUCGGGGCCCGAGGAGCUGAGGGUAUUUGUCUAACGGGGAAUGUAGGGGCAGGCAGGGGAGUUAAGGGUUUAGAUUGAACUUCCUUCAAUUGUUUUUUUGCUUCUUCUAAUUGGGCCUUAACCUUCUCAUGGGAGUUAUUUAGACUUCGUUGAAUGGACUCUCAACGUUGCUUUUCCAUUUCCCCAUACCAAUUAAAAAAUGCAUCCCACUGGGUUUGAUUUGCCUUGUAAACUAAUAAGGCGCCCCAAAGGUGCAAAAUCUUUUUAAAAUCAAAAGUCCCUUCCUCCAGGAACUGCAAACUUGGAUUAUCCCUUGUGUUCCAAUUCCACUCCUUUAAAAAUUUGCAGGUCAGGGGCCCAUAGUUGGAAUACAUAUACGCGUCUGGAGUAUCGUUUUCCGGUGCUGGGACCUGCUUCGACUGUGAGGUUCCCAUGGUCAGAUGGCUUUGCCUCAACACUCCCUAAACGAUCAAACAAGACAGUAUUAUGGUGAUAAACCCCGUAUUGCCUAACUGUUCAGUGAAUAUUAUGGCGUUAAAUCAAUUAAGCAGACCCAGCCGCUCAUAAACAGGGAAUGGCGUUUCUUUUCCCUUCACCCGGCCCCACCCCAAGCCCGACAGACUUGCAGUGCCUCUGUCAGUGCCGGGCGUAGCGAUCCGGCCAGAGAUAGCACAAUCAGAGUUCUCUCACUGAGGCACAGGUGAGCAGAUAAACAAGCAGAACCAGUCACUCGUAAACAAGGAGUGUGUCUCCCCUUCCCCCCCGCCCCCGCAGGGCGAUACAUCAAGCCCGGCAGACCUGUAGUGCCUCUGUCGGUACCAGAUGCAGCACCCCAGCCGGGGAUGACCGGAAAGGCUUGAUUCACCUUAAUUCUAUAUCCAUAUAGUGAAUUAGUUCUGGACAAUGCAACCCCCCCCUUUUUCCGUGAGUGAGGGUUAAGUACUUAAUGAAGCAAUUUGCUAGAAAAAAACCACUUCCUGACUAUUAAAAGCAAUAUUUCUCUAAAUCCUAGCCACUAGAACACUGCAGUAAGCCUUGGUCUCCUUUACAGGCGAGGCCAACUCCCCAAGCCUCCUUUACAGGUGAGGCCAACUCCCCAAGCCUCCUUUUCCAGGUGAGGCCAACUCCUCAACAUUCACACCAAUGGGGAGGAUUUAUAAGGGAGGUCUUCGCACACCCCCCUUCCAGCAAAGAGCACCAGCCCAUCUUUUAAAGGAACGGGGUAGGAUACCCUAUUGCCUCCGGUACGGUGGGCGAUUUCCAGGGACUUCCCCUCUCUCCGAGCAAGGGGAGGGAGCCCACGGCUCCAAAAGGAAGAUCUGCAAGCUUCAAAAGGAAGAUCUGGGACUACAGAAUAAAGUCCACGUUUCGCUCCAGAUCAUCCCGUCCUCCCAGGGGAAAGAAAAUGGCUGCAAUGGAGCUGGCUCAGGGGCUGGUGACUUUCGAGGAGGUGGCUGUGUAUUUCACCAGGGAAGAGUGGGCUCUGCUGCACCCCACUCAGAGAGCCUUCUACAGGGAUGUUAUGCAGGAGAACUAUGAGACGGUGGUCUUACUGGGUAAGGAUUCCCGUCCCCU